UCUUUGGAGAGUUUGAUCCUGGCUCAGGGUAAACGCUGGCGGCGUGCCUAAUACAUGCAAGUCGAACGGAGUUGGCGGAUCGCAAGAGAAGCCAGCUUAGUGGCGGACGGCUGAGUAACGCGUAGGUGACCUACCCCGAAGUGGGGGAUAAUCCUCCGAAAGGGGGACUAAUACCGCAUGUGGUCGUGCGCAUAGACGUGCACGAUUGAAGCCGCAAGGCGCUUUGGGAGGGGCCUGCGUCCGAUUAGCUAGUUGGUGGGGUAACGGCCUACCAAGGCGACGAUCGGUAGCUGGUCUGAGAGGAUGAUCAGCCAGACUGGGACUGAGACACGGCCCAGACUCCUACGGGAGGCAGCAGUAAGGAAUUUUCCGCAAUGGGCGCAAGCCUGACGGAGCAACGCCGCGUGGGCGAAGAAGGCCUUCGGGUUGUAAAGCCCUUUUCGGUGGAAAGAUUCAGACGGUACCACCGGAAUAAGCCACGGCUAACUACGUGCCAGCAGCCGCGGUAAUACGUAGGUGGCCAGCGUUGCCCGGAUUUACUGGGCGUAAAGAGCGCGUAGGUGGUGCCUUAAGUUGGGCGUGAAAGCCCCCGGCUUAACUGGGGAGGGUCGUCCAAUACUGGGGUGCUUGAGGGCAGGGGAAGGAAGCGGAAUUCCCGGUGUAGUGGUGAAAUGCGUAGAUAUCGGGAAGAACACCAGUGGCGAAGGCGGCUUCCUAAACUGCUCCUGACGCUGAGGCGCGAAAGCUAGGGUAGCGAACGGGAUUAGAUACCCCGGUAGUCCUAGCUGUAAACGUUGGGCACUAGGUGUAGCGGGUAUCGACCCCCGCUGUGCCGCAGCUAACGCAAUAAGUGCCCCGCCUGGGGACUACGAGCGCAAGCUUAAAACUCAAAGGAAUUGACGGGGGCCCGCACAAGCAGCGGAGCGUGUGGUUCAAUUCGACGCGACACGCAGAACCUUACCAGGGCUUGACAUGUACGUGUAAGCGGCAGAGAUGUCGCCCCCUCGUCAGAGGCACGUACACAGAUGCUGCAUGGCUGUCGUCAGCUCGUGCCGUGAGGUGUUGGGUUAAGUCCCGCAACGAGCGCAACCCUCGUCGUUAGUUGUCUUCUCUAACGAGACUGCCGGGUCUAACUCGGAGGAAGGUGGGGAUGAAGUCAAGUCAGCACGGCUCUUACGUCCUGGGCUACACACACGCUACAAUGGGCGGUACAGAGGGCUGCGAAGCCGCGAGGCGGAGCCAAUCCCUAAAACCGUCCUCAGUUCAGAUUGCAGGCUGCAACUCGCCUGCAUGAAGGCGGAGUUGCUAGUAACCGCAAGUCAGCAUAUUGCGGUGAAUAUGUUCCCGGGCCUUGUACACACCGCCCGUCAAGUGAUGAAAGCCGGUAACACUUGAAGUCGCUGAGCUAACCCGUCAGGGAGGCAGGCGCCGAGGGUGGGAUCGGUGAUCGGCACUAAGUCGUAACAAGGUAGCCGUAGCGGAAGCUGUGGCUGGAUCACCUCCUUUCU
rnacentral:rRNA from 1 species